rnacentral:rRNA from 1 species
CCUGCUCAGAUUGAACGCUGGCGGCAUGCUUUACACAUGCAAGUCGAACGGUAACAGGGUGCUUGCWCCGCUGACGAGUGGCGAACGGGUGAGUAAUAUAUCGGAACGUACCUAGUAAUGGGGGAUAACUAUCCGAAAGGAUAGCUAAUACCGCAUACGCCCUGAGGGGGAAAGAGGGGGAUCGCAAGACCUCUCGUUAUUAGAGCGGCCGAUAUCAGAUUAGCUAGUUGGUGAGGUAAAGGCUCACCAAGGCCACGAUCUGUAGCGGGUCUUAGAGGACGAUCCGCCACACUGGAACUGAGACACGGUCCAGACUCCUACGGGAGGCAGCAGUGGGGAAUCUUGGACAAUGGGCGCAAGCCUGAUCCAGCAAUGCCGCGUGCGUGAAGAAGGCCUUCGGGUUGUAAAGCGCUUUUGUUCGGGAGGAAAUCCUAGGGGCUAAUACCCUUUGGGGAUGACAGUACCGGAAGAAUAAGGACCGGCUAACUACGUGCCAGCAGCCGCGGUAAUACGUAGGGUCCAAGCGUUAAUCGGAAUUACUGGGCGUAAAGGGUGCGCAGGUGGUUGAUUAAGUGUGAUGUGAAAGCCCCGGGCUCAACCUGGGAAUUGCAUUGCAAACUGUUCAACUAGAGUAUGGCAGAGGGGGGUGGAAUUCCGCGUGUAGCAGUGAAAUGCGUAGAGAUGCGGAGGAACACCGAUGGCGAAGGCAACCCCCUGGGCUAAUACUGACACUCAUGCACGAAAGCGUGGGGAGCAAACAGGAUUAG